AGUGAACGCUGGCGGUAGGCCUAACACAUGCAAGUCGAACGGCAGCACAGUAGGAGCUUGCUCUUACGGGUGGCGAGUGGCGGACGUGUGAGGAAUACAUCGGAAUCUACUUUUUCGUGGGGGAUAACGUAGGGAAACUUACUCUAAUAUCGCAUCCGACCUCCGGGUGAAAGCAGGUGAUCUUCUGACUUUGCGCGAUUGAAUGUGCCGAUGUCGGACUAGUUCUUCGGCGGGGUACAUACCCACCAAGGCGCCGAUCCCUAUCUGGUCUCAGAUAAUGAUCAGCCACACUGGAAGUGAGACACGGUCCAGACUCCUACGGGAGCCAGCAGUGGGGAAUAGUGGACAAUAGGAGCAAGCCUGAUCCAGCCAUACCGCGUGAGUGAAGAAGGCCUUAGGGUUGUAAAGCCCUUUUGUUGGGAAAGAAAAGCAGCAGGUUAAUACCCCGCUGUUCUGACGGUACCCAAAGAACAAGCACCGGCUAACUUCGUG
rnacentral:rRNA from 1 species